GUUCCUAGGGUCAUCCCUGUGGCUGGUGGGUGGAGGGCCCGCUGAAGGAGAGGAGAAGAGGCGUCAAGUGCUCCUGGUCGGAGGAAGAGCUUCUGCUCCUCUUUCACAGUCGUGUACGCCCGGCAACCCAAGUUGUGCGCCAAGUGUCCUAAACUGGAAACUAAAACCGUCUGCAGCAGAUGACCUAUCGACUACGUGGAGGAGCCGAGCUUCAGAGCGUUGAAGGAGGAGCCGCUCAGGUCCAUUCUCUUUGGGGUCAUUUACUGCGAAGACGUCCGACACAUGGAUGAAAGGAAAACUGAGAUGUAAAGGCAAGAACAAAUAAAAG